UGGGCCCGAGGGAAAAGGUGGCCUCUGCAAGCAAGCUAUCACAGGGAGAUGAGUCCGCGGCCCAUCAGCUAGUUGGCGGGGUAAGAGCCCACCAAGGCAACGACGGGUAGCUGGUCUGAGAGGAUGAUCAGCCACACUGGAACUGAGACACGGUCCAGACUCCUACGGGAGGCAGCAGUGGGGAAUCUUGCGCAAUGGGCGAAAGCCUGACGCAGCAACGCCGCGUGUGUGAUGAAGGUCUUCGGAUCGUAAAGCACUGUCGCGAGGGAAGAUACGCCGGCGGCCAACAUCCGCCGGCUGAGACGGUACCUCGAGAGGAAGCACCGGCUAACUCUGUGCCAGCAGCCGCGGUAA
rnacentral:rRNA from 1 species